GGAGGCAGCAGAGGAAGAACAGGUGAUCGCGCCCACGGGGAGGGCGUGGCUGUGGGCGGCGCGGGAUGGCAGGAGGCAGGAGGAAGGGAAGCCCGGGGCCACUAGGUGGGUGGGUUGGGACACGCGCCCGGGUCGCUCUCAGGAGUGGAGACCCUGCUGCCUCGCUGAGAGCUAGGGACCAUUCCAGAUCUCAGGAUGAAGAGAAAGAAACAGAGCCCCUGAGAGAGGAAGGGGUUGGCUGAUGCAAGUAGGGGAGAUGGGAAUCAGCGAUCACCCUAAAAGCCGGUUGUGAUACAGGUUGAAGAUUCUUCUCACCAAGUAGGAGCUUAGUAAAGACAAAAUUAUUUCACGGAUAGAAUUUGAUUUCCAUUCAAGAGGCUAUUCAGGUAUUAAUCUAGCAUUUUUAAAGCACCUAGUGUUUGCCAGACACUGAGCUAGGAACCGGAGAGAAGAUGACUGUAUGGUUGCUGACCAGUAAAUAAAUUAUAGUAUCAAUAGUAUCAUUAAAAAGUUUUAAACAUAAAUCUUUAAAGUGUUUUCAGAAAGCAGGGGAAGCAACUCUACUGGUUUAAUUAUAUCUUAAAGAUAUAGAGAUAUUUUUCUGUUAAUCAAAAUAGAAGGAAGAUUGUUGAGAGAAUGGUAGGGAGCCCAGGACUUAAAUUUAACCAGAAGAGAACAGUAUGAAUCUAGAUUUUCUUUGUAUACUCAGACUCCCUGAAGUUGCAACACUGUAUCAAUUAUGACUUCUCUUUUGUAGAAUUUGGAGCAGUCACAAGAGUGUGAAAUAAUUACGAGGUGUGAUUGAAAAAAUACAGUGAAUAUUGACUUUUUAAAAAAUUUUUACUACAGUAAAAGACAUUGCCAUUAACCCCCCUCAAAAUACCCACCUUUGAUUCAAACACACUCACCCCAUCUUUCUUGCCACUUUCUAAAGCAGUUUUGGAAGUCCUGUUUCCUCUUUUCUUGAGUUGCUUCCAUCCAAAAUGGUUACCUUGCAUGGUAAUUUUGACUUCGAGAAAGAGCUAGAGGUUGCACAGUUCCAUAUCGGGUAAAUAAGGUGGAUGAUGAUACACUAUAAUAUUUUUAUGAAUGUACCUGUCCAUUGGAUGGCACUCAGCAGCAGCACUCAUUGUAUUUUUGAUCAUACCUCCUAAAGGUAUACACAAAAGUGGAUUUACAGAACUGCUUGACAAAGGGGCAAGAACUAUAAGUGUGUUCCAAGUGAGAGGAAACAAUUUGGGGGGGGUUAAUAGCAAUGUGUGUUUUGCUAUAAUAAUUUUUAAAAUUAAGCAUUCACUGCAUUUUUGAUCAACCCUUAUAGCUGCCUGGCCACUUUAUAAACUAACUAGUAUGAGAAUCUGAACUUAUAUUUGAAAGGGUCUAAUAUAACAGUAAUGUGAUGUAAGCCUAAUGUGGUAGUAACUGGGGCCAAACUAUGCCUUGUGAGCACUUUUGCCUUUGUGGACUCUUUCCUCCACAAAAAGAUACUAAAAGUUACAUUUUACAAUUGCUUUAGUGUAAAGACAGAUGUACUAUUAUAUGUUAAAACAUUUUCUUCAACUUAAAGGAUCAUUUUUCCCUUCUGAUUUUAAAAGAAAUUAAGAGAUUUCUGAGUCCCCAAACUACUGUGGGCCCCUAGGCACUGUAUCUACUGUGUGUGGUAGGAUUCAGCCCUGGUAGUACCAAUCCUCAGUGCUGAAUUUCUUCUUUUGAAAGAGAAGAGAUGAAUUAAGAAGACCCCAAUCAACACAGAGGCAGAGAGACCCACACUGCAUGUAUGAGAAUUGAUAACGAAUACCAACAUGAAAGAAGUGGCUAAGAAAAUGGAGGGAAGAAAGUACAUCCCCAAACAGCAGGAAAGAACAACAAAAGUUUUCCAAGAGGUGAGGAAAGAAGUGUACCUUGAGGAGUUAUAUUUUGGUGAAAAGUGUGGGCCAGCAGUCCUCUCUGGAAAGAAGACAGAGGCAAACAAAUGGAGUCUGCACGCUGGACUGCCGUUAUUCAAGUUUUCCUAAAAAGUGACAGCAUGGAAAUCCUCAAGUCUACUCAGAGUCUGCACCAAUUUGAUGGGAGAAUCUGCAGAUUUUCAGGCAGUAAGUUGAUCCGUGAUGGCCUUCAACCCAGGAGUAAGGAAUUCUCUGUUUAUAGUUUUGACUCAAAAAGGAUCCAAAUCAGCCCCACCCUGGAAAUGCAUCAUUAAGGGGGAAUUUUCAGUGUUUAAAAAUGGUUUAUAAUAAGGUCACGUUGAAUUUUAUUCUUUUUUUCUUUUUAUGAAGAUAAAUGCAAUCUGUAAAAAAAAAGUUUCAAGAGAAAAAGACAAAUGCCAUCUGUGUGACACUGAUUCUUCAUCAGGAAAUGCUGUAAGGAUACACACACACACACACACACACACACACACACACACACACCACUGACCAUAGGCUGGGGGAUCUGCUCUGGACGAGCUGCUUGAGCAUAUUUCUUGCAUGAAUCAGAAUCAAUGCGGGUGAACCUGAAAAUUGCCUAUUAGGAGCCUUUGGAAAUGUCCAUGAGAGACAAGGGUGAAGACUCAGGAAACAAUCCAGAGGAACUCCUUUUGAUGACCCACAUCAUUACUUGAUGCUGAUGUAGCCAUCUGUGAGAUACCAAAAUAAAUCCUGCCCAAAGGAGCCUAGAGCCAACCAGGGACAGGCCAGGUUCAAAAUAAACCUCUGGCAUCUCCAAAUCUCUCUGAGCUUUUGUCUUCAGGCAUGCUUCAUUAUGGAACUGCUCCUCUCCUCCUUGUUUUUCUUCCCCAUUUCUUGAUUUUUCUCUUUUCUUAGUCACCACUCAGCUCCCUAUGGGUUGAAUAAUAAUUUAGUAUGAGUUCAAUUUUUUUUUCAAAAUAUUUUGCAAUAAUAUUGUAUUGCCUUUACUCUUUAUGGCUGGAGGAGGAGUGGUCAGGUAUGACUGCCCCAGUUUUAAAGGCAGGACAAAAAGGGACAAUGGACCAAGUGAACUACCAGGGAUGAAAGGAAUGAGAUUAGCACCCAUUAUGUUUUUAUCCCCGUGACUGAAAUAAACACAAGAGCGGGACUGUAGUAAUUAUUUGGGAAAGAAUUGGAAAGCACCAUUCUUUGCG